GCUCCGGUGGCCCAGUGGUUACAGCGUCUGCCUCCAAUGAGGGAGGUCUUGGGUUAGAUCCCCGGUCGAGUCA